GACGAACGCUGGCGGCGUGCUUAACACAUGCAAGUCGAACGGAAAGGCCCUGCUUUUGUGGGGUGCUCGAGUGGCGAACGGGUGAGUAACACGUGAGUAUCCUGCCCUUGGCUUUGGGAUAACUUCAGGAAACUGGGGCUAAUACCGGAUAGGAGCUCCUGCUGCAUGGUGGGGGUUGGAAAGUUUCGGCGGUUGGGGAUGGACUCGCGGCUUAUCAGCUUGUUGGUGGGGUAGUGGCUUACCAAGGCUUUGACGGGUAGCCGGCCUGAGAGGGUGACCGGCCACAUUGGGACUGAGAUACGGCCCAGACUCCUACGGGAGGCAGCAGUGGGGAAUAUUGCACAAUGGGCGGAAGCCUGAUGCAGCAACGCCGCGUGCGGGAUGACGGCCUUCGGGUUGUAAACCGCUUUCGCCUGUGACGAAGCGUGAGUGACGGUAAUGGGUAAAGAAGCACCGGCUAACUACGUG
rnacentral:rRNA from 1 species